rnacentral:sRNA from 3 species
UGCCCAAGCGGGGAAGGAUGAGAAGCUUCGACCAAGGUUCGACUUGAGCGCCAGCGAGAGAGCGUUGCCGCAGGCAACGACCCGAAGGGCGAAGCGCGCAGCGCUGAGUAAUCCUUCCCCCACCACCA